rnacentral:rRNA from 1 species
GACGGAGGAUGCAAGCGUUAUCCGGAAUUAUUGGGCGUAAAGCGUCCGCAGGCGGCGAUCUACGUCUGGGGUGAAAGCCCGGAGCUCAACUCCGGGACUGCCUUGGAUACGGGAUCGCUUGAGGAUUGGAGAGGCAAGGGGAAUUCCACGUGUAGCGGUGAAAUGCGUAGAUAUGUGGAGGAACACCUGUGGCGAAGGCGCCUUGCUGGCCAAUUUCUGACGCUGAGGCGCGAAAGCGUGGGGAGCAAACAGG